rnacentral:lncRNA from 1 species
GGCACCAGAGGUGGCACCAAGGAACACCCACAGCACUCCGGUGACAUUGAGGGACACAGGACACCGGCGGGGGUGGCACCGGGGACACCGAUGGGCACGGAUGGCACCAAGGGAUGGCAGUGCCACCCUGGGGACACCUCGAUGACACCCUGGUGCCACCCUGCGGGCAGUGCCAGCGUCGUUUAUUGGGGUGGGGACAGCCGGGGGUGGCACGUGUCCCCAAACGUGUCCCUGAUGCGUCACACACACGGUGUCACAGCUGUCACGUGUGUCACACACGUGUCACACAUUGUCACACGUGUCACACACGCAUUGUCACACGUGUCACACACGUGUCCCCAGCAGCACAGGGACACGGGCGUGGCCACGUGGCCGUGGUGGCAUCAGGCAGGACACGUGUCCCCUGUGCCACCCACAGGGGCAUCACCCAUGGGUGGCAUCAGCAGGGACAGUGGGUGCUGGCAUUGUCACCUGUCACCAACACUGUCACCAACACGGACACAGUGAGUGACAGCGGGUACUGCCAUUGUCACCUGUCACCAACACUGUCACAGUGUGUGACACCGCCUGUUGUCCUUUCUGUCACCAACACCACAGUGACACCAGCUGCUGUCACUGUCACCAACAUGGUCACAGGAUGUCACAUCAGCUGUGCUCAUUGUCCCCUGUCACCAACACUGUCGCAGUGAUGCCAU